UCCUAGAAUCCCAGGAUCACGACCUGAGCUGAAGGCAGAAGCUCAACCGACUGAGCCACCCAGCAUUACAUCAAAGAUUAGAUGGUGCCAAAAGAUGAUGCACUGAGCAAGCUCUCUGGAGGCCUGGUCUUAGCAAUCUGCCUAACCCUGCGAGUGGUGUUUGCAGAUGAGCACAGCGUGGAGGAAACGCACUGCCACCAGAAGACAGAAAGAUAAAAAUACAGAACCCCGGGCCAUUCGGAUAAUGCAUGUAGCCUCUGCACAUUCUGGAGGGCAGAGUAAGUGUCAGUUGGUACCUAAGCUGGCAAACACGCUGGCUUGGGAACUCGGUGAAACACGCAGCCACCUAAAUACACAGACACAUGCAGGAGCCGGCUGCCACGACAGUGGGUGAUUAUGGAGGACACGUUAGCCACACCUGACCAAGGCGCUCAGCUGUACGGGCCCAACCGACGGAGAGGUCGUGGCCUUCCAGGGACGCGCCCUCCUGCGAUAGAGAUUUCAAGGAGGCAGAGAAAGGAAAAGGAAAUCUCCUUGCUGGCAACAGAACGAAAGUGUUUACAUGUGAAAUUAAUCGUCAGCACCAAGAGCUUUCGCAGUCGCCGCUCCACAGGGUAACCCGCCGCUUGUUUAGCUGCUCGCCCUUUAAAAAUUUGAUUUCUAAGAAUAAUAGCAAAGACUUUCAAGAGGAGCAAGGAAUCGGGUCAGGAGCAAGCCACAAAAGGCUCACCUCGUCCAGGCACCGCCUUUGCUUUCACCCCCCCCCCCCUGCCUGCCACAGCUGGGGGAGUGGUCAGGGCUUGGCGGAGCUGGGGGGGAGCAGGCCCAGCAGCCGGAGGGGGGGCCGUGCCUCCGGACCCCUCCCCACCCCCCCCCACCCCCCGGCCAGCAGGGCCUAGCUCAGCGCCCAGCAGUCCACCUAAAGGCUCCAUAAAUCCAAAAAAGGGAGUUACUGAUCGAGGAAUUCUCAGAUUUCUGCCAAGACACCCUCCCCUGGGCUGGAGGUCAGCCUGGUACGGGAAGCAGAGCCAAAUCGUGGACUGGACUCAAGGAAUUAGGCCGAACACUUCAAAUCUGGACUUUUAACGGACGAUUUUUUCUUUUCGGCGAUGGAGACAAAACAAAGUACAAACGGCUGAUAACAGCCCAAAGUAAACCAGAAGAAAAAGUACAAGAACAAAGCUUGGAAACAAAUCUCCUAAGGGAUAUCUAAGAAGAGAAUUUCCAAACAGAGGAAAAAAAUAAAGCGGCUUUUUAAAGCUCUGGUUUGAGAUUAAGCAGUUUGUGAAUGAACAAUAAGAAAGUAAAGGCCACAAAACAAGAUAUUUGCUCUUUUCAGCAGAAAAAAAAAUACUGGCCUUUGUUAACUAGCAGCAAAAAAAAAAAAAAAAAAA